AUUAUUCAACACAAAUUGGGGACUGUUUAUUUUAUAAAGAAAUUGCUGACAAAGUAUCCUAAUUCCCGUGGUUAAAUGGUGGUUUCGUUUAGCCUGUUCACCUAAAUUGGAAAAAUCGUAUAUUGCAAAGCAAAGGAGGAACAGAGGUUGAUAGGUUAAAUUAUAAUAAUAAAACCACAAAAUUCCUUUCUGCCCUUUCAUGCCAUCAUUUAUUAUGAUAAGAUACAAAAAUCCUUUAUAUAUGCCCUGAAGCCCGAUAAAAAUAAUCUAUAACCACAUAUUUGAAAAGUCUUAAAUUUGCCCUAUCGUUUUUUAUCAUUCCCGAACCCAAACAACCAAUUAGUGGUCGUAAUUUUAGUUGUUGUCAUAAAACAAGUUACCGCUACUCAUUAUCUUAAAUUAAGAAGCCGGUGAUAUUGCAAAAAGAAACAAUAAGCUUAAGGACAACGCAAUUAGCCAGCUGGUGUUAUCUAUCUUUUUCAAGAAACCAAGUCAAUGCAUUUGAUUGGUUGCCUAGUUUCCUCUCAUUAAAAGUAUGCCUAUUAUUGGUCCAUUCCUCCCCUCAUUAGAAAUUGCCUAAAAACAACCUAACAUCUUUUUAGAUGUUAAAAACUUGAAAAACACAGCUUAUGCAAGAAGAUACAGAGAGCACAGCGCCAUGAUCGUUUCUAAAGUGAUGCUGUCAAUGUUUCUGUUGCUAUGGCGACAUAUCUAUGCAGAUGUUUGCGAUGGCUUCUUUGAACUGCCGAAUUCCAUGCUACAUGGUCACGUGAUCGAGACAAUAACUACAACCAAGAAAGUCUGUCGAAUGACUUGCAAUAGGAACAGCGCUUGUUAUUCGAUAAACUACAUCCCUCAGAAAUCGCAAUGCCAGUUGAGUGGUGCUACACACUUCGCGUUUCCGGCUCACUUCACACCUGGCGCAGCGCCUGGAGCAUUCUACGCUAUAGUUAAGCCGCUGACCAACUGCAGUAACGAUCUUUGCAGUAGUGGUAUGGCAUGCAUGAUGAGGGAAGGCGGGAAGGCGUACAGAUGCGGUAAGAUAUAAGAGAGGGCGGGAAGGCGUACAGAUGCGUGCACCAGGACCAGAUCUACGUGCGAUCAUCGGAGCUUACUGGAGAGAUCAGAUUGGACGGUAUAAGCUUCCAUUUAGUAAAAAUAGUAGAUGGCAUUCACAUCAAUCGCGGUCACAACUUCGUCUCCUUCGACUGCGCAAGUAAUCACAUCAUAUCUAAUGCCACCUUCGACACGCACGGUGACUCUAGCGCAGGCUCUAAGAUUGUGAAUUACAUCAAUGGCCUCCCGAAUGACGUUAUGGUUGCCAUAGCAGUGGUGGACGACGGAAGUCAAUAUUUAUCCAGUGCAGCAAGGGCAGCCAUCUCAAGCCUGGGGGCGACCAGCACCUUCCUCUCACUGAGGCAGACGUACGCGUUUAUUGGUUACAAGGGACACACGAAACCUUUGUGGAUCAAGGAAGCAAAAAAUAACGAAGGGGUCGACUCUGAAGUGACUGUCAAAUGCAAAUGUAAAACAUGCUAGAAGCGAGUAUUUAAUCACAUAACAUAACAAAGUAAAGUUUGAUAUUCUAAACAGCGCCCCAACAGAUAUAGCUGAGUACCAGAGAACCCAAGAGUGCAUGUAGUGGAGAAAUAGGAACUUCCCACUAAAAGCGUCACCUCGUCCUUUUUGAGAGUUGGGAUUUAAGCAUCAUUGUCUGUUUUGUACUCUAAACUAACGGCAGAAAGCUGGAUGACAUUUCACUAACAUUUUACUAAACGCAGAUCUAAUUAUUCCAUUGUAUAUCGCUGUGACAAAUUGUCAAAGCGUUCUGUUCAGAAGACUGGAUUAAUAAAUAAUCUAGAAAA